GGGGGGCAAGUAUUAUGGGGUUAUACCACCUCGACCUUUAUCCCAAAAAUUAUUCUUCGGCUGCACUCUUUGAUCAGUAGUCGAGAUGCCAAGGUAGACCUCGGUGGCGAGCAUCAUCUGAAUGUCCUACUUCUGCUGCACCGACAUAGACCUUGGCGAUAAGCAUCAUCUGAAUGUCUUGCUCCUUCUGUGAGAGAACCAUUAUCUC
rnacentral:lncRNA from 1 species